rnacentral:rRNA from 1 species
GACGAACGCUGGCGGCGUGCCUAAUACAUGCAAGUCGAACGAGAGCAACCGGUGCUUGCACUGGUCAAUCUAGUGGCGAACGGGUGAGUAACACGUGGGUAACCUGCCCAUCAGAGGGGGAUAACAUCCGGAAACGGAUGCUAAAACCGCAUAGGUCUUCGAACCGCAUGGUUUGAAGAGGAAAAGAGGCGCAAGCUUCUGCUGAUGGAUGGACCCGCGGUGCAUUAGCUAGUUGGUGAGGUAACGGCUCACCAAGGCCGUGAUGCAUAGCCGACCUGAGAGGGUGAUCGGCCACAGUGGGACUGAGACACGGCCCAAACUCCUACGGGAGGCAGCAGUAGGGAAUCUUCCGCAAUGGACGCAAGUCUGACGGAGCAACGCCGCGUGAGUGAAGAAGGUUUUCGGAUCGUAAAACUCUGUUGUUAGAGAAGAACAAGUGCUAGAGUAACUGUUAGCGCCUUGACGGUAUCUAACCAGAAAGCCACGGCUAACUACGUG